GACGAACGCUGGCGGCGGGCUUAACACAUGCAAGUCGAACGGAAAGGCACUGCUAUUGUGGGGUUCUCGAGUGGCGAACGCGUGAGUAACACGUGAGUAACCUGCCCUUGACUUUGGUAUAACUUCAGGAAACUGGGGCUAAUACCAGAUAGGAUCUCCUCCUGCAUGGUGGGGGUUGGAAAGUUUCGGCGGUUGGGGAUGGAUUCGCGGCUUACGAGCUUGUUGGUGGGGGAGUGGCUUACCAAGCCUUUGAAGGGUAGCCGGCCUUAGAGGGUGGACGGCCACAUUGCGCCUGCGAUACGGCGCAGACUGGUAUGUGAGGCAGCAGUGGGGAAUAUUGCACAAUGGGCGGAAGCCUGAUGCAGCAACGUCGCGUGCGUGAUGACGGCCUUCUGGUUGUAAACAGCUUUCGCCUGUGACGAAGCGUUAGUGACGGUAAUGGGUAAAGAAGCACCGGCUAACUACGUG
rnacentral:rRNA from 1 species